AUGCACGUGUGUGUACACGUAAGUGCACGCGUGUCCUUGUGCGUGAGUGGGGACACCGGAGCUCAGGGGUGGGGACUCCUGGAGUCCCCUGGCUGCAGCAGAAACCCUCCAGCGUCCGGCCAGCGUCCAGCCCGCCUUGAGCACACAGCCACUCGGCCCAGCGUGCUCCGUGCUGACCCCGCCCCCUGGCCAGCUCCCCAGGGCACCCGGGGCGGCCUGGGGAAGGGGCAGGGGAGCCGCGGAGCUGGACUUUCUGGGACGUUCUUCCUGGUUUUGCCUGGACGUGCAGCGUCUGGAGAUGCUGUGGCGCAGGCGCCCAGUAACGCGUCAGCAGGGACAGGGCCUGGCCUCUGCCUCCCGCGCUCGCCCUCCAUGGCCGGGGCGGUGGGGCGCGGGCUGUGGCGCUCGGGCCUCUGGACACGCCCCAGGGAGGCUCUGGACACAGGCUGCAGCUCAGGUGUCCGACGGCACAGACGCUGCUGGAGUCUGCUCGUGGCCCCAGCCCCGGGCACACGGCUAAGGCCUGACCAGGCCCCCUGCCCCUUAGCCCGGCAUGCACAGCGUGGAGGGGGGAGCCCACGGCAGGGCCUCCCGCGGGCCAGGCCUUGCAGGAAGGACGGGUCAGCAGGCUGGAGCCCAUGCCCAGGAGGGGGCCGGGGGCGGGGGCUCCCUCAGGACCUGCCCCUCCAGGAGACUGGGUUUCCUGGGAACUACCACGAGCACCGGGGAUUCGCAUCCCGGCUGACCUCACAGGGCUCAGGGGUGAGGGCACGGCCUAGCUGGGUCCUCCAAGGGCCGCGGCGGAGGCGGGGACCUCCAGGCCUCAGGCCCUCUGAGCUACCUGGUGGCAGACGUCCGGGGGCAGCAGGGCGUCUGCUGCCUCUUACCUGGGCCCUUCCCCUGGGCCCUGCGUCAGGAGAAGGAGGCCCACCCCAUUCUCAGCCUGAAUCCAUUGGCAGCUGUAGAGGAGAGCCGAGGGGCCCCCUGAUUAGGCCAGGCCCACCAGGCCACUCUCCCUUCCGAUGA
rnacentral:lncRNA from 12 species